rnacentral:rRNA from 1 species
ACGAACGCUGGCGGCGUGCUUAACACAUGCAAGUCGAACGGUGAACCUCCCUUCGGGGAGGGGAUCAGUGGCGAACGGGUGAGUAACACGUGACCAACCUGCCCCUAUACUUUGGGAUAACCCCGGGAAACCGGAGCUAAUACCGGGAUACGAGACCGAGUGGCAUCACACGGUCUGGAAAGUUUUUCGGUUAGGGAUGGGGUCGCGGCCUAUCAGCUUGUUGGUGGGGUAAUGGCCUACCAAGGCGACGACGGGUAGCCGGCCNGAGAGGGCGACCGGCCACACUGGGACUGAGACACGGCCCAGACUCCUACGGGAGGCAGCAGUGGGGAAUAUUGCGCAAUGGGCGAAAGCCUGACGCAGCGACGCCGCGUGAGGGAUGACGGCC